AGGGUGGGCUCUUUCUGUGGCCCUCUUGUCUGAAGAAGGCGCUCGGUGACAGUGACAGGUGUGUGCACCCAGUGGCUAAAAUCUGAUUCCAGUAGCUUCACUGACGCCCUUGGACCUGCAGCCAUCGAUUACCGAGCAAAGCUUCAGUUCAACUUCAAGAAGAAUGUGAGCCGCAAUUGAAAGGACUGGGCAGUCUAGAUGUGAUAGGAAGUGAAUGACACUUCGUUAGAGGAUACGCGGUGGUGGUACUUGAGGGAAGUAUAUAGUACCGGCCAUAAGUAAGGAAAUGACUUCCCAUCACUUCCUAAGCAUGCAUGUCAUUCCCCUCACUCUCCACCCUGUUUAUUCUGAGCUGCUCAAACCAUGUCCAUCACAUUUGGCUUAUUGAAUUAAGAACCGGAAGUGCGUCCAGGUAGAGAACUGGAGAACCAGAAGAGACACAUGCACAGAAGAGACCUCGCCGUUCCUGGGUUUCCCAAAGUGCUGGACCACAUUCCCCCCCUUAUAAAAUCAUACACUGGAGCUCUACUUUCACCCCUCUUGUCCCUUUCUCAAGCACACCUGAAAAUGAACAAAUCCCAGAGAUCAGUUUAAUUCAAGGGCCUUACAGUGGACUUCACCCAGGAGGAAUGGCAGCAACUAGACCCCACUCAGAGGCUUCU